rnacentral:rRNA from 1 species
GUACGGGGGGCAAGCGUUGUUCGGAAUUACUGGGCGUAAAGGGCUCGUAGGCGGCCAACUAAGUCGGACGUGAAAUCCCUCGGCUUAACCGGGAACUGCGUCCGAUACUGGAUGGCUUGAGUUCGGGAGAGGGAUGCGGAAUUCCAGGUGUAGCGGUGAAAUGCGUAGAUAUCUGGAGGAACACCGGUGGCGAAGGCGGCAUCCUGGACCGACACUGACGCUGAGGAGCGAAAGCCAGGGAGCAAACAGG